CCCUUAGAUGUUCUGGGCUGCACGCGUGUUACAAUCGGGAGUACAGCAAGAUUGCAAAUCCUAGUGGAUGAGUGGUUCUUCGAAAUUUUCUGAAGACUGGGAUAGUUGAUUGAAAUUAUUCAACUCAAACGAGGAAUUCCUUGUAAUUGUAAUUCAUUAUAUUGUAAUGAAUACGUCCCUGCCCUUUGUACACACCGCCCGUCGCUCCUACCGAUUGAACGAUCCGGUGAAUUAUUUGGAGUAGCUCUGGAAGUUGCAGAACUUCCUAUGUCACGAAAUUUUGUAAACCUUAUCGUUUAGAGGAAGGAAAAGUCGUAACA
rnacentral:rRNA from 1 species